rnacentral:rRNA from 1 species
UACGAAGGGGGCUAGCGUUGCUCGGAAUCACUGGGCGUAAAGCGCACGUAGGCGGAUUGCUAAGUCAGGGGUGAAAUCCUGGAGCUCAACUCCAGAACUGCCUUUGAUACUGGUGAUCUUGAGUCCGGGAGGGGUGAGUGGAACUGCGAGUGUAGAGGUGAAAUUCGUAGAUAUUCGCAAGAACACCAGUGGCGAAGGCGGCUCACUGGCCCGGUACUGACGCUGAGGUGCGAAAGCGUGGGGAGCAAACAGG